rnacentral:misc_RNA from 1 species
AAGUCGUAACAAGGUCUCCGUGGUGAACCUGCGGAGGGAUCAUUACAGAGAAACUCGCCCGCAAGGGUGACUCUCCAACCCUAUGUUAAUUAUACCUUUGUUGCUUUGGCGAGCCGCCUCGGCCACCGGCUCACGCUGGUGAGUGCUCGCCAAAGGACCCUAAACUCUGUUUAUACAUGUCGUCUGAGUACUGUAUAAUAGUUAAAA